GGAGGAAUAUUGGACAAUGGGGGAAACCCCGAUCCAGCAACGCCGCGUGAGGGAUGAAGGCCUUCGGGUCGUAAACCUCUUUUAAGGGAGACGAGAAAGGACGGUAUCCCUGGAAUAAGUCACGGCUAACUACGUGCCAGCAGCCGCGGUAAUACGUAGGUGACGAGCGUUAUCCGGAUUUACUGGGCGUAAAGCGCUUGUAGGUGGCUUUGUAAGUUGGGCGUGAAAACUCUGGGCUUAACCCAGAGACGCCGUCCAAUACUGCGAGGCUAGAGGAUGUCAGAGGAAGGUGGAAUUCCUGGUGUAGUGGUGAAAUGCGUAGAUAUCAGGAGGAACACCCGUGGCGAAGGCGGCCUUCUGGGGCAUUCCUGACACUGAGAAGCGAAAGCUAGGGGAGCAAACAGG
rnacentral:rRNA from 1 species